rnacentral:misc_RNA from 1 species
AACAUCGCGCACCUGCGGGAACCUGCGGAAGGAUCAUUACCGAGUUUACAACUCCCAAACCCCUGUGAACAUACCUAUAUGUUGCCUCGGCGGAUCAGCCCGCGCCCCGUAAAACGGGACGGCCCGCCGCAGGAUCCACAAACUCUGUUUUUAUUGUAACUUCUGAGUAACAAAACAAAUAAAUCAAAACUUUCAACAACGGAUCU